rnacentral:rRNA from 1 species
CAAUAGCGUAUAUUAAAGUUGUUGCAGUUAAAAAGCUCGUAGUUGGAUUUCUGGUAGGAGCGACCGGUCCGCCCUGUUAAGGGUGUGUACUAGCGUUGUCUCUGGCCAUCCUUGGGGGAACUGCGCGGGGAGACUUGCGUUAGGGAACCCAUCGUUUACUGUGAAAAAAUUAGAGUGUUUAAAGCAGGCUUAUGCCGUUGAAUACAUUAGCAUGGAAUAAUAAGAUAGGACCGCGUGGUCGUCUUGUUGGUUUGCACCGCGAGGUAAUGAUUAAUAGGUACAGUUGGGGGUAUUCGUAUUUAAUUGUCAGAGGUGAAAUUCUUGGAUUUAUGAAAGACGAACUUCUGCGAAAGCAUUUACCAAGGAUGUUUUUCAUUAGUAUACGAAACGAAACGUUAAAGGGGUAAGGGUAGUAACGGAAAGUAGUAGUACUUAAGGAAUUAACCCCGUACUUCGUAGGAACGUACGUCCGAACCGGAACGGACCAACCAACGGGGAAGGGGUAAGGUA